rnacentral:rRNA from 1 species
CCUACGGGAGGCAGCAGUAGGGAAUAUUGCUCAAUGGGGGAAACCCUGAAGCAGCAACGCCGCGUGGAGGAUGAAGGUUUUCGGAUUGUAAACUCCUUUUGUUAGGGAAGAUAAUGACGGUAUCUAACGAAUAAGCACCGGCUAACUCCGUGCCAGCAGCCGCGGUAAUACGGAGGGUGCAAGCGUUACUCGGAAUCACUGGGCGUAAAGAGCGCGUAGGCGGGAUAGCAAGUCAGAUGUGAAAUCCUAUGGCUUAACCAUAGAACUGCAUUUGAAACUGUUAUUCUAGAGUAUGGGAGAGGUAGGUGGAAUUCGUGGUGUAGGGGUAAAAUCCGUAGAGAUCGAGAGGAAUACUCAUUGCGAAGGCGACCUGCUAGAACAUAACUGACGCUGAUGCGCGAAAGCGUGGGGAGCGAACAGGAUUAGAUACCCGAGUAGUC